GAGUUUGAUCCUGGCUCAGGAUGAACGCUGGCGGCGUGCCUAACACAUGCAAGUCGAGCGAGAAAUCUUGGAUUGAAACUUCGGUCGAUUGAAGAGAUGGAAAGCGGCGGACGGGUGAGUAACGCGUAGGCAACCUGCCCCUUGCAGAGGGAUAGCCAUUGGAAACGAUGAUUAAAACCUCAUAAUACUGCGAAGUCACAUGUCAUUGCAGUCAAAGUAUUUAUCGGCAAGGGAUGGGCCUGCGUCUGAUUAGCUGGUUGGUGGGGUAAC
rnacentral:rRNA from 1 species